GGAGCUGUGUCUUAGAGGCAGAGCAUCUUCUUGGCAUGUGAGAGGUCCUAGGUUCAAUCCCUGGCAGCUCUG
rnacentral:tRNA from 1 species